rnacentral:rRNA from 1 species
GACGAACGCUGGCGGCGUGCUUAACACAUGCAAGUCGAACGGAAAGGCCCUGCUUUUGUGGGGUGCUCGAGUGGCGAACGGGUGAGUAACACGUGAGUAACCUGCCCUUGACUUUGGGAUAACUUCAGGAAACUGGGGCUAAUACCGGAUAGGAGCUCCUGCUGCAUGGUGGGGGUUGGAAAGUCUCGGCGGUUGGGGAUGGACUCGCGGCUUAUCAGCUUGUUGGUGGGGUAGUGGCUUACCAAGGCUUUGACGGGUAGCCGGCCUGAGAGGGUGACCGGCCACAUUGGGACUGAGAUACGGCCCAGACUCCUACGGGAGGCAGCAGUGGGGAAUAUUGCACAAUGGGCGGAAGCCUGAUGCAGCAACGCCGCGUGCGGGAUGACGGCCUUCGGGUUGUAAACCGCUUUCGCCUGUGACGAAGCGUGAGUGACGGUAAUGGGUAAAGAAGCACCGGCUAACUACGG